UACGUAGGGGGCAAGCGUUGUCCGGAUUUAUUGGGCGUAAAGAGCGUGUAGGCGGCUAGGUAGGUCCGUUGUGAAAACUCGAGGCUCAACCUCGAGACGCCGGUGGAAACCAUCUAGCUAGAGUCCGGAAGAGGCGAGUGGAACUCCUGGUGUAGCGGUGGAAUGCGCAGAUAUCAGGAAGAACACCAACGGCGAAGGCAGCUCGCUAGGACGGUACUGACGCUGAGACGCGAAAGCGUGGGGAGCGAACAGG
rnacentral:rRNA from 1 species